UCUGUUACUUAUAUCAACGUCUCCUAACUUUCUGUUGUGUUAUUGCAAAGAAUGAACUUUUGUUAUUAUUUCUUGCAGGGGCCAAUGAACCUGCUGCCUCUGGAGCACCAGGGUGCUGGGCAGACUGCUUGCUGUCACACUGCGGCAGCAGAGGCCGGGUGACUCGUCCCAUCUGUAACCGACGGCUCAGCAGGACGCAGAUGUCAUCAGUGCCACUGGAAGCUGCAGAUGAUUCACGAACCUCUCGUGAUGUUGCUGCACGUGUGCGUGGCUAACUCGAGGUGAGCAAAGAUGUAUUUGCAGGUGAGCAGAAGCAGCAGCACCAGAGGUGGCAGAGGAUGUCUAAGAAGAAGAUGAGGAGAUUUUGGGAAAGCUCUAGUGUCCGAAUCAACCCCUAACAUAGCAGCAAGAUGUCCCUUUGACUCCUGAAGCGAUUUGCAAGAAAACCCUGUGUUCUUGCUUUGUCUGGAUGACGCUCUUCGCUUCUCUGUAAUCUGCACCCUUCUGGCCCAGCUGGACCCGAGUUUUCAGAGAAAGUCAGCACCUCUGGCUGAAAUGUCUCCAACCUGUGAGGUUCGCAUGCGGGUCAAAUCUUUAUAUCAAACCCUUCAAAGGAAACUUUCCUAUUGAUUUAAUGUGUGGGUUUUUUGGUUUGUUUUGUUUUGUUUUGUUUUACCUCCAUUCAGGAGUUUUAUCUCAUUAGUUCUGUGAAUCAAACCGUGCGCCUGAAAUCCUUUCAUUUUCUUUCUGAGAGAAAGAUAUUUUAAAUUCAGAGCAGGAUAAAAAUUAAAGCGUGAACAUAAUCUAGCUGGAUUGUAAGUCUUUUCUAAGAUAUUCAGAGUGAAGUCUGUACAGCUGCACAAUGUCAUUCCCAGUAAAUGAAAUCAAUAUCCUCCUCUUUAGCAGUGUUUACAGACAUGCUGGUCUUCUCUGGUUCUGGCCAGUGAAUUUUGAAAUAGUAUUUGCAUAAAUUUGCCUACUUCUCCCUUUGUUUAUCUGACAAUGCUUUUAAUUAUCCCAAAAUCAGAUUUUUAAAUAUAGCACUUUCUCUCUCUGUGAUUGCUAUGGAAAUUUCACCUGGAAAAUCAAAGCUUUCAGAAUGCGUUUUACUUUCAUCUCAUCCUUUUGAUGAGGUCCUGACACAUCAAAAAUCCACACUCAGAAGCAACCCUCUCUAUUCAAAUGUUUAAAAUGCCAGGAGGUCUUCAUGUUGCAGAAGGUGUGCAACCAGCAGCAUUGCACCACUGCGCUCGCUGGAGCUUGGGAUGAGGACCCAGAUCAUGUCAGAACUUGGGAUGCUUGACUGGAGCGUUGCCUGUCUGCUGACAGAAGCAUGUCAAGUCUUGAUUGAAACUGGACAGAAAAGGUCCUAUAGGAGCUCAAGGUUUUUCCUGUAGAAAAUGUGCUGAGAGGAUUCAGUGCUGGGUUGCCAGCAGGCUGUUACUAACCCUCUAAAGACUUUCUGUAGCUGGAGGCAUUAAAUAGUUAAGUGGCCUUUCCAUCCAACCUCAUGGAAAUUUUUCAUGUGUUUUGAAAAGUUCUCCAGGCCACCACCAGCAACUGAAAUGAUGAGAGAAACCCAACCUAACACUUGCCAUGACAAAAGUGAAAAAUAAUGCCCAUGAGGAAACAGCCCUUCUGGCAGAAUAGGACAUUUAAAUUUGUUUCCUUCCUUCAACUUAAAAUGCAAGAAGCAAGCAGGUGCAAGAAGGCACUUGUUUGAGGUUCAAAGAGCAGUUCAUGUAAAGGAUCAAUAGAUCCAGCACUGUAUUUAGCAUCGUACAAAAUGUUAGACCAGGCAAUUAUUUUGAUUCAUCACUGUGGUAAGUGAAGCAUCCAAGUGUGACAGAAAAUUCUCAUAUUUUCUUGUUUCUUAUGUAACUGAAAUAUUUCAUCUUUAGAGGCGGUUAUGUUGAAGAUUCACAUUCUGCUCUUGACAGGUGUUGCCAAUGGCUUGUUAGUUUAGUGCUAGUUUUACAGUUGUGUGUGGCAUUUUUGUUUUGUUUGUUUUCAUUUUGUAUUCACCUGUUCUCUAAUCCACAAACUACGAGUGCCAGAGGGACUCUUGCAGUAGCACCAGUGUCCUCUGAGCCACCUGGCUGGAGCAUUAGGAAGCAAAUGUCCUCACUGGUAUCACAGGGAAUACUGCUGGCUCCAAAGAGCCACUUGUAGAGUUGGAUUUCUCUUACUUUAACAACCUAGAAGAUAUCAGUCUAAAUUUACUCCAGAUAAGAAAUUAGAUAAUCAACAUACUACCUAUGCUCAGCUACUUUGCUUCAAAAUGCUUUAUAGUUCUGUGUUCAUGAACAGCAGCAGCCAGGUGUCAUAAUGGCUCAAAUAAAACCUGCAAGAAAA